CAUCAAUAAUGCACUCCAAAAUAGAUGAAGAAAACCGAAGUAGUCCCAAUAACAACCAGUGCAGUAAUACAACUUCUAUAAUCUGAUAUCCAUAUCACCGAGUUCCCAUGAUCAAACCAAGAUUUAUAACAGUAAUAAAUAUAGUUACCUCCGGCCAAUGAAUAUCUUGUACGGAUGAACCAUGGUUAAUAAAUAAGAUUAGACCAUAAGAAUAAUAAGAAAACCGAGAUAAUAGAAUCCAAGAUGUGAAGCUAUACUAAAUUUCCGAGAAGAAAAACCACAUUGAAUGAUAAAGAGAUCGAUGAUAUCCCAGAGAAAAUCCAAAAGAAUAUCCCAGAGAAAAUCCAAAAGAAGAAUAUCACUUGUACGUACUAGGAAUAGUUGUGAUAAAGACAAUAUAAAUUCCAUAUAUAUAAUUCGGAGCUUCAACCAGUAGAAAUAGAAAAUGGCUUCAUAUGAGUCUUAUCAUCAAAUCUUCCAUCGAACAUAAUAGAUUACAAAACCAAAGAAAGAUAGAGGAAUCCCGAUCAUGAAUCAACCAGACUAAUAAUAAUUUCGUCUAACAAUAUGAUUAGCCAACCUUGCUAUAUGAUAAGAAUCAUAUCUGAAAAUAAAUAAUUGCAUAUACCUCUGAGGAUAAAAGAGCAUAUAGAAUACCCAUAUAGAAUACCCAGAAGAAAUCGUUGUAAGAUACCCGACUAUAACAACUGCAUUCAGAUAUGGUUGCAAUUUUCAACACAAUCCCACUGAUUACUAAAGUCAUCAAUAAUCUCGCAUUAUCCCAAUCAUUAAAGAAAUCAAUUCAGAAGAAAUUUCGAUUAACCUGCUCUUUAAAUUUUAUACCUGAAUAAGUCGAUUACUCGUGAAUAGCUUUUUCAUUAAUAGCGACAUUGCGAAUCCCAAAUAAUCAUUUAAAAAUUUGAUAUCUUUUCUGGAACCCUCUUUACUUGCUAUCCCAUCCACAACUCUGACUGCAUUAUUA
rnacentral:lncRNA from 1 species